CUGAGACCUGGGAUAUCCAACACUCUUUGUAUAUAACUUACAAGAAAUUUAUCACAUUGUGCUAUACAUGCUUGCCUGAUUGCAUGACUAUCUCUGAAAAGACCAUGAGCACUUUGUGAAAACCUUUAGAACCUGAGUUCCAGAUCCAAUUUGAAGCAUGUUAUCCAAACCUGGCACUAUGAGUCUCCUAGAAAACUGUUGAGUGGAAAUUCCCUAAAUCAUAGACACAAAAACUUCACACCAAUAACAGGAGUCCUGGUGCCUAGAGGACAGUGAAAUUAUACAACAGCAAGACUAAGGCAUCUGCAAAUCACCGUCUUGAUCCUCUAUCUAUCAGGACAUACACAACUCAGGUCUGAUCGGCAAUUAGUAGAAAAGUCAGGACUGCUUUAUUGGACUUUCAAACCAAAAGUACGGAAUAAGAAAUUUUACACUGUCCCAUUCAGAAGAAUGAGUACCAGAUGUUGCAAAC
ensembl:lncRNA